GCCAUGCUGGCCUGGAAGUGACUGCUGGUUGGAUCCGUUUGGGUGGAAAUGUGACCUUUCUGCUGCCCCUGCACAGGACUAGGGGGCCCAACACCUAUAACCACACCAUUUCCUGCUAUGUUGGGUCAGGUUGAACUAGCCCAGCCUGGAAAAACGCCUGACCAGACCCCACCCUUGGCUUCAGUUAGAGGGCAGCGGAAAGUGAAGGUGACGUUGGGGGUGGUGGUGGUGAGUGAUGCUGAAGAAAUAUAUAUAUAAUCAAUUUGGCCAUAUCCAAAAAUGCAUGCCUUAUUCUGUAUCUUGAGUCUGUCACCCCUCUGUCAGGAGCUGCCAAGACCUGGGCCUGCCUGCUUUCCUCUGACUACCACCAUCCAUUCUUUGCUUCUGACCAGGGUUUCUCACCCCAGUGGCUAACUUCAGGACAGAACCGAAGUCCUGGGUUCUUGGAGUCUGCCAAGCCCAAGCAGAUUUGGGUGGGUGUGAACCUACCACCUGGAUCCAGAGGUGGAACAAAAGCCUCUUCAUUGAGAAGACACAGCAGGAAGAGGCUUGAAGAGGCUUCUUACCUACCCAUGGGGAUGCCAAGUUUGGUAGUUUAGAAAAAUCAGUUCUUUUCAGGACUGGUCUUUCUCUGACUAUCUGUGCUAGAGAAAGGCUCCUUCUUUCUGCCUGGGACCCUCACUUUGUCCUUUUUCUGGAACCCCCUGUAUCUGGAAUCUUCUUUACUGGAAACAUCUAUUUCCCCCUCCCCACCCCCUUGUAAUCUUGCUGAUUGGUGCCUUCCUGCCUCAGAUGUCAGGGGUAGGAAACUGACCAGAAGCAUCCAUGCCUCUUUUCUAUAAUCCACCUGGUCCUCUUCUGCAUCUCUGCGUAAUCCGGGUGCCUGUGUGUUUUACUCUGAAGAACUGAGAGUAUCACCUAAUCUGGGUUCUAGGACAGGAGGUUUCCUCCCCUUUGCAUCAUUGAUCCUUUUCCUUCUGCUGCUAAACUAGAAGGUAAUUGCACCCGAGACCCACACCUUUUAGAGAUCCAGUUGUAUUCUUGGCAUGACCCCAUAUUAUUAUGAAUUAAUGACAAAAUGUCAAGGGUCUUUAAUUUUAUUGGUGCAGGGAAUCCCUUGAUUAUACAGAGCUCAAACUCAUCUAAAGCUCAGUAGACAGUCUUCAAGAGUUGGUUUGACAAAAAAUUUCAUCACCCUGUGGGAAACCUUGUAUGGAGCCUCUCUAAACUUAGCCAGGCUGGUCCUUGGAUGACAGACAUGCAGUUCAUUUCUGGGCCUUUCCCAAUCUAUCUUAAUUCUAGUGAAUUUCCUCUGCUGAUUACAUCCUACUUAUGCUGUAUUUAGCCCAUUUGUACAUAGUUGUUUUUUCAAAAAAAAUACGUAUUUAUUCUUAACAUUCAUUUUUACCAUUUUGAGUUCC